rnacentral:hammerhead_ribozyme from 1 species
AUCCACCUGAUGAGUCCAAAAUAGGACGAAACACUGGUUCUGAAU